rnacentral:rRNA from 1 species
UGAGUGCGAGCGGCUACGGCCGCGAAGUGGGUGAUGUCAAGCUUCCAAGAAAAGCCCUAUACCCGUUAAGGCAUGAUGGCCUGUACCCGAAACCGACACAGGUGGGGUGGUAGAGAAUACCGAGGGGCGCGAGGUAACUCUCUCUAAGGAACUCGGCAAAAUGGCCCCGUAACUUCGGGAGAAGGGGUGCCACCGCAAGGUGGUCGCAGUGAAGAGGCCCAGGCGACUGUUUACCAAAAACACAGGUCUCCGCUAAGUCGCAAGACGAUGUAUGGGGGCUGACGCCUGCCCAGUGCCGGAAGGUUAAGGAAGCUGGUCAGCGCAAGCGAAGCUGGCGACUGAAGCCCCGGUGAACGGCGGCCGUAACUAUAACGGUCCUAAGGUAGCGAAAUUCCUUGUCGGGUAAGUUCCGACCCGCACGAAAGGCGUAACGAUCUGGGCGCUGUCUCGGAGAGAGGCUCGGCGAAAUAGAAUUGUCUGUGAAGAUGCGGACUACGUGCACCCGGACAGAAAGACCCUAUGAAGCUUUACUGUAGCUUGGUAUUGUGCCCGGGCUCUGAAUGCGCAGGAUAGGUGGGAGGCUUUGAUCCAUGGCUUGCGGGUCAUGGUGAGCCAACGGUGAGAUACCACUCUUUCAGAGCUAGGGUUCUAACGGUCACCCGUCAUCCGGGGACCGGACAGUAUCAGGUGGGCAGUUUGACUGGGGCGUUCGCCUCCUAAAAGGUAACGGAGGCGCGCAAAGGUUUGCUCAGGCUGGUUGGAAAUCAGCCGACGAGUGCAAAAGCAGAAGCAAGCUUGACUGUGAGACCUACAAGUCGAACAGGGACGAAAGUCGGCUUUAGUGAUCCGACGGUUCUGAGUGGAAGGGCCGUCGCUCAACGGAUAAAAGUUACUCUAGGGAUAACAGGCUGAUCUCCCCCAAGAGUUCACAUCGACGGGGAGGUUUGGCACCUCGAUGUCGGCUCAUCGCAACCUGGGGCUGAAGUCGGUCCCAAGGGUUGGGCUGUUCGCCCAUUAAAGCGGUACGCGAGCUGGGUUCAGAACGUCGUGAGACAGUUCGGUCCAUAUCCGGUGCACGCGCAGGAACGUUGAGAGGAUUUCUCCCUAGUACGAGAGGACCGGGAGGAACGCACCUCUGGUGUGCCAGUUAUCGUGCCAACGGUAAACGCUGGGUAGCCAUGUGCGGAGUGGAUAACCGCUGAAAGCAUCUAAGUGGGAAGCCCACCUCAAGAUGAGUGUUCCCAUGGCAUAAGCCAGUAAGGUCACGGGAAGAACACCCGUUGAUAGGCUCUACGUGGAAGCCGGGUAACCGGUGAAGCGGAGGAGUACUAAUAGACCGAGGGCUUGA